rnacentral:rRNA from 1 species
UGAGGAAUUUUGGACAAUGGGGGCAACCCUGAUCCAGCCAUGCCGCGUGAGCGAUGAAUGCUUUAGGGUUGUAAAGCUCUUUAGGCGGGGAAGAUAAUGACUGUACCCGCAGAAUAAGUCCCGGCUAACUCCGUGCCAGCAGCCGCGGUAAUACGGAGGGGACUAGCGUUGUUCGGAAUGACUGGGCGUAAAGGGCGCGUAGGUGGCCACGCAAGUCAGAGGUGAAAUCCCAGAGCUUAACUCUGGAACUGCCUUUGAAACUAUGUGGCUAGAGUAUGGAAGAGGUAAGUGGAAUUCCGAGUGUAGGGGUAAAAUUCGUAGAUAUUCGGAGGAACACCAGUUGCGAAGGCGACUUACUGGUACAUAACUGACACUGAGGCGCGAAAGCGUGGGGAUCAAA